GCCCCUUCCAGACCGUCACCUGGGCCGGGUCCCGGGGCGACUCGCGUGCGGGCGGCGGCGGCGCCGGGCCGGGAGAGGCGGCGGUGGCUACGGGCGCCUGGUCAUCCGACCUGGUUCGAGGGCGGGCGCCAGCCAGAGCCGCGGCGCGAGAUGCUCGCGGGAGCCGGGACGUCGCGGGCUCCGGGCCGCUUGAAGGAGCAGUCGCCGAGGCUUCGCCGCCGCCGCCGCCGCCGCCGCCGCGCCCGCCCGGACUGCGGGCUCCGGUUACCGCAGCGCGGCUCCUUAAAGGGGCCGCGGCCGCUCGAGCUCCGGCUCGCGUUCGCGGCUCCGACCCUGGCCAAAGUGGGCGGGGCCCACCUCCGGGCGCCGAAUUUAGGUCCGGGGCAGGGCUCGAAACCCCGGCACCCGAAGUGGGCUGCGAUAGGAUCCUGGAAGAUCACACGUCGCCGGGGGCACAGCACGUGGCUCCUGAUCUUUCCAAAGCAAGACACACAACUCGGGAGUGGGGAGAAGUGGCUUGCAAGUGCUUCCCAAACUGGGUAGGAGGUGUGUCCGGUUCAAGCAGCCUCCUCCGGAACCGCUGAAAAACACCCUAAAGGAUGCCCUCCGGAACCCCUCUGCUUUCGGGUGUGGAAGUAGAAUUUGAAUUUUUGAUGCUGGCUGAGAAUAUCAAGUUGCCCCGUGCAUAAAUUUUGCCAUUAAGUAGAUCUUCUGAGGUGUAUAUAGCCUCAAAACUUCCAAGUGUUCUGGAUCAACCAGACAGAACUGGUUGGAAUAAAACAAAAUGAUGAAAUAUAUUUAGGCUGUAAUUUUAUAAUUUGUAAUUGUAAGGAUCUUUUUGAAAAGAGGUACGUUCUAAAAAGAAUUUCUAGGGCCGGGGAUUUAGGUCAGUGGUUUCACCACCCGCUGCACAAGUGCAAGGACCCGAGUUUGAUCCCCGGUAUCAAAAAAAAAAAAAAAUUAAAAAAUUGAAAACGUAGGAAAGUUAUUUAUAAGAAAUAGCUAUCAAGAGAGCUAACAUAUGUGACCAGUAUUUACAUGCAUGCACACACACACACACACACACAUUUAUCUGCUGCAGAUCUAGGCCAGAAAACGUGCACACACACAACAUCACACACCCUAUC
rnacentral:lncRNA from 1 species